CGGGACGGGUGAGUAACGCGUGGGUAACCUGCCUCACACUGGGGGAUAACAGUCGGAAAUGACUGCUAAUACCGCAUAAGCGCACGGGAUUGCAUGAUCCAGUGUGAAAAACUCCGGUGGUGUGAGAUGGACCCGCGUUGGAUUAGCCAGUUGGCAGGGUAACGGCCUACCAAAGCGACGAUCCAUAGCCGGCCUGAGAGGGUGGACGGCCACAUUGGGACUGAGACACGGCCCAGACUCCUACGGGGAGGCAGCAUG
rnacentral:rRNA from 1 species